rnacentral:lncRNA from 1 species
AAGUAACUAAACUUCUAAUUAAAACUAUUAUAAUCUCUCAUCUUAGAGUUUACAAUACAAUAACCCAAAAUAUUACAUAAUAUUUUUUUUAUACAAAGUGGAACUCUCUAAAGAGACUAGCGACAGUUUAACUAACUCUCAAUGCUCUUGCCAUAAUCACAUGCCUUACUGGUGAAAGAUUAUUUUGAAAAACAAUAACAAUAAUAGGAUAAGAACUUAAAAUAAGUUUUCAAUAGGUACAACUAACAAAAGUUGCUCUCUACACUUACUCGGUUCAAAAGAGGUAUUAGCAAAACAAUCUAUCUAUACAAAUACAUUAUUUGGCGGUUCCUGAAGACCACGUGGAAGUUUCUCAUUCAUCCCCUCUCUUUCUCCUCCUUUUUCUCCCUUCCUCGAUCUUAUCCUUUUCUAACCCCUCUCAUCCUCCUCUUUUUCCUCCCUUCUCUCCCCUCAUUUUUCUCCCCUGCUCGAUCUUGUCCCUUUCUUACCUAUGUUCCCCCCACCCCCUACCCACGCAC